rnacentral:rRNA from 1 species
UACGAAGGGGGCUAGCGUUGCUCGGAAUGACUGGGCGUAAAGGGCGCGUAGGCGGUUUGUACAGUCAGAUGUGAAAUUCCUGGGCUCAACCUGGGGGCUGCAUUUGAUACGUAUGGACUGGAGUGAGGAAGAGGGUCGUGGAAUUCCCAGUGUAGAGGUGAAAUUCGUAGAUAUUGGGAAGAACACCGGUGGCGAAGGCGGCCAUCUGGCCCACAAUUGACGCUGAGGCGCGAAAGCGUGGGGAGCAAACAGG